UACGUAGGGUGCAAGCGUUAAUCGGAAUACUGGGCGUAAAGCGUGCGCAGGCGGUUAUGUAAGACAGUUGUGAAAUCCCCGGGCUCAACCUGGGAACUGCAUCUGUGACUGCAUAGCUAGAGUACGGGUAGAGGGGGAUGGAAUUCCGCGUGUAGCAGUGAAAUGCGUAGAUAUGCGGAGGAACACCGAUGGCGAAGGCAAUCCCCUGGACCUGUACUGACGCUCAUGCACGAAA
rnacentral:rRNA from 1 species